AUGGAGCCGAACGCCACCGUUGAGGCCGACGCCGAGGACGACUACAUGGGGGACCUGUCCCACUUCCUCCCGCCAAGCCCGCCCUCUCCCUCCAGGAGCCUCGGGGUCCGGAAGCAACCCCCCAAGCCGGCUCCGCCGGCGCGAGGGCACGCGAAGCGCGCCAAGGGGCUACCGUGGAAGGAGCGCCGGCGGCAGGAGCGCGAGAGGAGCCAGAGAGAGGAGGACGCCCGCACCUUGGCCGGGAUGGCGGAGGCCAUCCCGGAGAGCAACGUUGGGUUCAAGAUGUUGAAGCAGAUGGGAUACGACCCGGCAGCCCGCGGCGCCGGCGCCGAGCCGGUUGGAAUCGAGAUCCGCCGCUCUCGGGCCGGACUCGGGGCGGAGCCAGAUGCUUCUGUGGCGCCGCUGCCGCAGCCAUCGGAACCCAAGACGCGGGAGGAGGAAGAAAGGGAGAGGAAGCGGGAGGAGGAGAUGGUGGUGGAGCUGAGGUCGAGGAAGAGCACGCAAUGGAAGGGACGGAGGUUGGUGUGGGACUACCGCAAGGCUGAGGCGGCGCUCGCGCAGCUGGAGAACAGGGAGGUGGAGCCACCGGCCCCCGAUGGGGAGGAGAAGGAGAAGGGAGAAGAUGAAGAGGAAGAGGUGAUCACUGAAGAGGGUUUACAAACCAUAUUGGAUAAGCUGCGUGUUCAACACCACUAUUGCCUUUACUGUGGAUGCAAGAAAUGUAGGGAAAGGCUGCGUACUAUAGACCCAAAGUGGUCGGACCCUUCCCUGGACCCUGCGCAAGCGGGAGCUACAUGCACCAGUUUGAAUCAGCAGGAGCACUGGCAAAUGAAUGCCCUGGGCCUAAUGAAGAUGAUCACUGAUCCACUCUGUCAAUGGUGA
rnacentral:rRNA from 1 species